GGCAUAUCAAUAAGCGGAGGAAAAGAAACCAACAGGGAUUGCCCCAGUAACGGCGAGUGAAGCGGCAACAGCUCAAAUUUGAAAUCUGGCCCUUUCGGGUCCGAGUUGUAAUUUGUAGAGGAUGCUUUUGGCAAGGCGCCGCCCGAGUUCCCUGGAACGGGACGCCACAGAGGGUGAGAGCCCCGUCUGGCUGGCCGCCGAGCCUCUGUAAAGCUCCUUCGACGAGUCGAGUAGUUUGGGAAUGCUGCUCAAAAUGGGAGGUAUAUGUCUUCUAAAGCUAAAUAUUGGCCAGAGACCGAUAGCGCACAAGUAGAGUGAUCGAAAGAUGAAAAGCACCUUGAAAAGAGGGUUAAAUAGUACGUGAAAUUGUUGAAAGGGAAGCGCUUGUGACCAGACUUGGGCGCGGCGGAUCAUCCGGGGUUCUCCCCGGUGCACUUCGCCGCGUCCAGGCCAGCAUCAGUUCGCCGCGGGGGAAAAAGGCUUCGGGAACGUGGCUCCCCUGGGAGUGUUAUAGCCCGUUGCAUAAUACCCUGCGGUGGACUGAGGACCGCGCAUCUGCAAGGAUGCUGGCGUAAUGGUCACCAGCGACCCGUCUUGAAACACGGACCAAGGAGUCGUCUUCGUAUGCGAGUGUUCGGGUGUCAAACCCCUACGCGUAAUGAAAGUGAACGCAGGUGAGAGCUUCGGCGCAUCAUCGACCGAUCCUGAUGUUCUCGGAUGGAUUUGAGUAAGAGCAUACGGGGCCGGACCCGAAAGAAGGUGAACUAUGCCUGUAUAGGGUGAAGCCAGAGGAAACUCUGGUGGAGGCUCGCAGCGGUUCUGACGUGCAAAUCGAUCGUCAAAUAUGGGCAUGGGGGCGAAAGACUAAUCGAACCUUCUAGUAGCUGGUUUCCGCCGAAGU
rnacentral:rRNA from 1 species